rnacentral:rRNA from 1 species
AUGGGUCCUAUCCCUAGUAUCUUUCGAAUUAUGACUAAGCUCACUACAUUACACCUCGAUGAUAAUCAAUUCUCUGGAAAUGUUCCGCAAGAAAUUGGCGCCUUAAAGGAUCUUGAAAAUCUGCAAUUUGAUGGUAACAAUCUCUCGGGUCCGUUGCCACCUGGGUUGUGUUCCGGAGGUCGGCUCAAGAAUUUUACUACAUAUGACAACAAUCUGACAGGACCACUACCACCAAGUUUGAUACAUUGCAGAAGCCUCGUUAGAGUUCGUUUGGAAAGGAAUCAAAUAACAGGAGAUAUUUCUGAGUUGGGAGUUGAUCCAAAUCUUCUCUAUAUGGAUCUGAGCUCAAAUAAAUUAUUUGGCCAAUUAGCUUCUCACUGGACGGAAAGUGGUAAUCUUACCAUGCUAUGCCUCUCAAACAACAACCUCACGGGGGAAAUACCCACAAGUAUGGGGCAACUGCCUCAGCUAGGGGUGCUUGACCUUUCAUUAAACAACCUCGAAGGAGAUAUUCCAAGUGAAUUUGGUAAUCUGAAAUUUUUGUUCCAGUUGAGUCUUGAAGACAAUUUUCUCCAUGGAAGCAUACCACAAGAAAUUGGAGCACUGUCCAAUCUAGAGUUGUUGGAUUUGUCAUCAAAUAACCUAAGUGGUUUGGUACAUGAAUCAAUUGGGAAUUUUUAA